ACCACAGUUUCUCCAGUUUACAGCGAGGAUCCUCCAGUACAGCACAGAGACGCUUCACUCCCAAAUCUCUUAUUUUAUUCACAGACAGAUCCAGUUCUCUCAGGUGUGAGGGGUUUGAUCUCAGAGCUGAAGCCAGAGCAGAACAACCUUCAUCUGUGACGCCACACCUCAUCAACCUGUAGAGAACAAUGACACACUCUUCACUCUCUCAGAUCAGAUCAGUUUAGCUGUGAAUCCAUUAGUAAAGAGAAAGAACAAAUCAAUGUGUGAUGAAUCAAUGGACUGACAUUUAAAACAUAAAAUAAAA